GGAGCAGGAGCUGGCACUAGGGGUGCUGACACCCCACGAGUGCUCUGUAGCACAGGGAGUGCCGAGGCGAAGGGAAAACAGCGUGCAAGCAGCAGGAGGGCCAUGAGCACGGAGCCUGAGCCCUGCACAGCACCGAGGUGCUGACAUCACCACCGAGCUCCAGCUCGCCCCUGGCGUGCACCUCACCACCAGAAAACCCGCACAGAAAAGCAGCAGCAGCCCGGCCCCGGGAGGGUGCGCCGAGGGGAAGCGCACUCUUCCUCCUCACCUCGCCGAGCAAGCUGGAGGAGGAAGCUGAAAAUGAGCCGAGAAUCUCUGCCAGGAGGGCCUUGGAAAGAAAAAGACUUAGUUUUAAGCUUAUCUAACCUCACAUCGGCCAUUUCCUAAGAAGGGAGCAAAUUUAAUUAGGAAGGCAGAGCGGCUCAAGGACGGCGAGGUUACGGCCAGCACAGGCAGCUCGGAACACAAUGCGAGAGGUCAGCACCACGCACGGGCAGGGGGAGAAACACAAACAGCCCGGGCUUGUCUCUGCAGACUCAUUAUCCCGGGUCAAACGUGGAUGAAAUUAAAUGCACAGAACGGCCAGCACAGAAACAUCCUGCGGGGGAACAACAGCAGGGAAGGGAACAGCACCCAGAGAGGGAAAUCAGCGGGGACAGCGUGAAAAGGAACCAGGCAGACCCCAGGCACUGACCCAAGCCCCAGGGAGAUGCUGGAAAAAAAAGGUAUUUUAAAAUUCCCCCAGUCCCACAAACCCAGCCUGGGCUCUGGCAUCUCGUCUGCACUGCCGGUUACCACCGCCAACGGGUGCCAGCAGCACCGCAGCUGGAGCGGAGCCGAGGAGCCCAGCGAGGGGCAGGGAGGGAAGGACGAGCUGCUCAGCGCCAGCUGGAGCGUGCCGAGGGGCUCUGCGAGAUCCUAAAAACGACCUCAGGGGCUUGGAUUAAAGGUCACUGCAGCGCAGCGCCCCGCAUCUGAGGCAAAGACCGAGCAAGGGGAGCUCGACCCUUCCCCAGGGGAGCUCCCUCGUCAGUGAUUAAGGAUUUACCGGGUCAGAGACUGGACCUGGGUCAGCUCGCCCCGAGCUGUGCACCUCGUUGUCAGCACCGAGAAUCCAGAACUGCAUUACAACCCCCACCAGCCUCUCGUUUUCGAGCUUCCCCCGCCACCUCUGCACCAAACCCGAGAGAUUUUCGGCGGAUCGCACAUGGAGAUGAAGGCACGCGUAGCCCCUGAGGACAGGCAGGAGGAGCCCCCGUGGUCCACAGCACGCGGAAAAGCCCCGGCACUGCCUGAUUCCAUGACAGGGGGGGCGGCUUUGCAAUCCCCCCCCCACCCAGCACGCGCUGUUUGUACAGCGCAGCAAGGAGACGCAGCUGAAGGGCAGGGAUUCGGUGGGCCCUUGUGUUUUGUUUCGGGUGGAAAAAUAAAGAUAGACCCAAACAGCCAGGCGGCUCUAUAAAUACAUCCUGUCAUUUUAAUUA